rnacentral:lncRNA from 1 species
AUUUACGCCAUUCAGCCUAGAGAGCUAAUGAAGCACCCCAAUGAGGCAGGAUGUGUUUGGAUGAAUAGAAGGCACAUGAUCCAUUCACAGUUACAAAAAACAUUUUAUUUUACUUACGUGGACAUGAGAAGUAUGAUACAUUCUAAAUAAAAGAGUAUCAAAAUACAAUUUCAGUGGCCAAAUAUGAAUCUUACACAAGCAUCUUGUACUCUGGUUCUUUUGAUUAAACUGUCCUCUAUGUCUCUUCAGUUUCCAAAAAUAAGACUAAUUUUCAUUAAUCUGUGAUACGCACCAGGUAUUACUUUUCAAAAGAGAGACCAUGGUUCCUGCUCCAUUUUUUGUACCACAUACGCCACCCCAUCAUUCUACUCAGUGAAAAUGUCCUUCUCUCAAUAUCCUGGCCUACUCGGUUUCAUGAUCACCAGUACGGCAAUCCUCUCCUAUAACUGUCAACAGAGGUCCAGAGUCAUACAAACAAAUCUAGAGAAGGGCCAAUGACCUAAGAAAGCAUAAUAAUUUAGAUAAUACUUUUACAUCUAUUCCCUGCCACUUCCCGUGUUCUCAAAUUUAUACUAGAUUGUAUCUUAAAAUUACUGUCCUAGUUUUUCCAGGUUCCAUGGGUAUGAAUAAACGCCAUCUAAUGAAGGAGCUCCUUUCAUCUUACGGAUCCCUUCCCUGAGACCAUAAUGGUGAGAAAUGAAAAGCAUGUAUGAAAGUAUAACAAAACAGGUUUCAAACUUCAGGUGGUAAGCCAUCAAUAAAUGUAGCCUUUUCCAGAAACCUCAAAGAACUGAAUGAAAUCAUUUUAUAAACUGAGGGUAAUUAGACCCUUCCACAGAUGUCCUUACUACAUGGACACACAUCAUCUCACGAGUUUUAAACAAUUUCACUUUUAAUUGUCUGUGGAAUUUAACAUCUGAGGUUGGUUAAUCUUCGAAAACAAUAGACUUAGUUGCCUCUACUAUGAAUUUUCUUAUGUACAGUUCAUUGAGAGAAUUGGUGAAACAAUUCAUCACUUUCCUUACAUGGGUACUAAUUCUGUCUGAAUAUUUCUGCCUGAAUUCUUAGGUGUAUCAUGAGGUCAUUGUUUACAGACCUUGAUAGCUUUGUAUGGUUUUCAUCUUAUAUGAAUUCUUUCAUGACCACAAAGUUGUACAUUUUUUAUAAAGCUGGUCACACUCAUUACAUUUAUAAGGUUUCUCUCUAGUAAGAAUUCUGUUCCACAAGGCUUAAACUUUGGGUACACCUUACCAUGUUACAUUUGUGUGGUUUCUCUCAAAGAUGCGUAUUCUGAUAUCAAGUGAGGUGUGAGCCCUGGUUACUGGCUUUCUCACAUCCAUUACUUUUAUAUGGUUUCUCUCCAGUAUGAAUUCUCUGAUGACUUGCAAGGUUUGACUUUUGACUACAGACCUUGCCACAUAUAUUACAUUUGUAAGGUUUCUCUCCAGUAACCAUUCUCUGAUGAUUUCCAAGGUUUGAAUUUUGACUAGAGGCCUUGCUGCCUACAUCACAUUUACAUGGUUUCUCUCCUGUAUGCACUCUCCGAUGUCUAGUAAGGUUCGAGCACUGAUUGAAAGCUUUGCCACACUCAUUACAUUUGUAAGG